rnacentral:siRNA from 1 species
UACAUGGGUGAAAUACAGUUUUGG